GACCGUAGCGUAGUGGUAGCGUGCGCUAUGUGCCUGUUGAGAGGCGUGGGUUCGAAUCCCCCCACGACA
rnacentral:tRNA from 1 species